CAUGCAAGUCGAUCGGUAGCACAGGGAGCUUGCUCCUGGGUGACGAGCGGCGGACGGGUGAGUAAUGUCUGGGAAACUGCCUGAUGGAGGGGGAUAACUACUGGAAACGGUAGCUAAUACCGCAUAACGUCGCAAGACCAAAGAGGGGGACCUUCGGGCCUCUUGCCAUCAGAUGUGCCCAGAUGGGAUUAGCUAGUAGGUGGGGUAACGGCUCACCUAGGCGACGAUCCCUAGCUGGUCUGAGAGGAUGACCAGCCACACUGGAACUGAGACACGGUCCAGACUCCUACGGGAGGCAGCAGUGGGGAAUAUUGCACAAUGGGCGCAAGCCUGAUGCAGCCAUGCCGCGUGUAUGAAGAAGGCCUUCGGGUUGUAAAGUACUUUCAGCGGGG
rnacentral:rRNA from 1 species